CCUUUAGCUGUCCACCACCAUCUUGCAGAGGCUUGGGAAGACAAACAGGGCCAGAUCCUGAGAGCCAGGAAAGCCUGCCUGCAGAUUCAUCUGUAAGCCUCGGCAUUGCCCGGGCUGGUAGUAAACCACCAAGAUGAAUCUUCUACGCCGGGUUUCAGCUAUCUUUCGGAGGGGCACGGAGUCUGAAGAAACACUGCAGGAACAACCUCAAGAUAACUCCAAGUUGAAGUCUAUCCAGGGAAUUGUGACCCAUCUUUGUUCUGAC
rnacentral:lncRNA from 1 species